UGGUGGGUUGCCUUGUCAGGUUGAUUCCGGUAACGAACGAGACCUCAGCCUGCUAAAUAGUCAAGGUCGGCUUUUGCCGGCCUGCAGACUUCUUAGAGGGACUAUUGCGCGUCUAGCCAAUGGAAGUAUGAGGCGAUAACA
rnacentral:rRNA from 1 species